GGAGGAUCAUUAUCGUAGGGCUUCGGCCCUGUCGAGAUAGAACCCUUGCCUUUUUGAGUACCUUUCGUUUCCUCGGCAGGCUCGCCUGCCAAUGGGGACCACAAAAAACACUUUGCAGUACCUGUGACAGUCUGAACAAACAAUACAAAAAUUAAAACUUUCAACAACGGAUCUCUUGGUUCUGGCAUCGAUGAAGAACGCAGCGAAAUGCGAUAAGUAGUGUGAAUUGCAGAAUUCAGUGAAUCAUCGAAUCUUUGAACGCACAUUGCGCCCUUUGGUAUUCCUUAGGGCAUGCCUGUUCGAGCGUCAUUUAAACCUUCAAGCUAAGCUUGGUGUUGGGUGACUGUCCGCUUCACUGCGGACUCGCCUCAAAAUUAUUGGCGGCCGGUACAUUGGCUUCGAGCGCAGCAGAAACGCGAACUCGGGCCCGUCGUAUUGGCUCCCAGAAGCUAUCUUCACAAUUUUGACCUCGGAUCAGGUAGGGAUACCCGCUGAACUUAAGCAUAUCAAUAAGCGGAGGA
rnacentral:rRNA from 1 species